rnacentral:rRNA from 1 species
GUGCCAGCCGCCGCGGUAAGACGUAGGUGGCGAGCGUUACCCGGAUUCACUGGGCGUAAAGGGCGCGUAGGCGGUUUGGCAAGUCGUCUGUGAAAGCCCCCGGCUCAACUGGGGGAGGUCGGACGAAACUGCCAGGCUGGAGGACGGCAGAGGAAGGUGGAACGACCGGAGUAGCGGUGAAAUGCGUAGAUACCGGUCGGUAUCCCGAUGGCGAAGGCAACCUUCUGGGUCGUUCCUGACGCUGAGGCGC